rnacentral:sRNA from 1 species
GUUGAAUUGUGGGAUAGGAUGACAUCACUAAAUCAUUUGCAUAUUCAUAAUUAUUAGACCGCCAUCUUGGAAGUGAAUUUAUUCACGACCAUCGGUAAAAUCCGAGGAAUAUCUUUACCAUCGCCCUCUUCAGUGAACGCCUGAAGAAAUUUUUAUUGUUUUCAACAAUAGCCCAGUGGAACGGACCCGUACUAAGCGGUUCGUUCAUAGGCUAAGUGAUUAGAAAAUCUUCAAUGAGUGCACAGGCAAGAUGUCCACAUUUUCUGGGAUAGGAGGAAGAGGUGAUAAGGGAUCGAACAAAUACAAAUCGCUUAAUAUAAACAAUAUAUACCAAGGAAAGAGUGUACCAACACAGAAAAGCACAGUACAACGUCAGCAUGGGUUGCAAAGUUUGGGUAAAGUGGCAAGCAUGCGGCGUAUGCCGCCCCCGGCUAAUUUACCAAGUUUGAAAAGUGAAAAUAGCGGAAACGAUCCAAAUAUCAACUUAGUUCCAACAGGAGGUUCAGGAUGGGGCAACAAGGAAAAGGAACAGGAGAAGACGACUGCACCAACAGGUCAGCCGCCAUCGACGCAGCCAUCGCAGGCUACUGCAGCGCCAUCCGCACAAUCUACAACAAAGACAACUGUUGCUGGGAGCAGUGCAACAGUGACAUCGUCAGCAGCACCUUCGGGGACAAACUCGGCACCGAAGUCCUGGAGCAGUGUAGCACUUGGAGAGAGGGGCAGGCCUCUUGGUCCACAUUCACCUUACCAGGAGGAAUUUCCAACAUUAAAAUCAUCAGGGGAAGACAAAGGAAAAGAUGGCAAGAAAGAAGAAGAAGGAAAAGAUACUCAGUAUGGACCAGGGCCAAGUUUGCGACCACAAAAUGUCGCGAGUUGGAGAGAAGGAGGUGGACGUGGCGCCAUGCAACAGCAGCAAAACAAGCCAGAUUCACCAUCAUCACCAACAGGGCCUACGUCCCAAGGCCAGACAGAAACACAACAGAAUGGCCCCCAGACCUCAAGUCCAGUGGAACUUCCCAACCAGCCUCCAAGGCCUGUUCGGGGCCCCACGCCUGGAGGGCCCAUGACUAUGGGCCCUCCAAUGGGAAUGCCACCUCAGUAUCGGAUGAUGCCUCCUUAUAUGUAUGGCAGAUUCCCUCCUGGCUACCCACCAAAUUACCAAGGAAUGCCAAGACCUCCUUAUCCGUAUGAUCAAAGCAGGUUUCGGCAUCCUCCUCCUAUGCCAGCACAACCAAGACCCCCUGUUGGUGCUGAUAGUGAUGAUUAUAAAAGAGCUGCCAUCAUCUCAGAAAAAGAUCUGAAAGAGUUUGAUAACCUGAGACUUGAUCAGGAAGAUGAAGGAUGGGCUGGUGCACAGGGUGAAAUUGAUUACUCUGAAAAGCUUGUCUUCAGUGAUGAUGAUGACGAUGAUAAAGAUGGCAAACCUCGAUCUAGAAGAGGUGAAAAGAGAGAAAAGAAAGAUGACUAUAAUGAUGACGAGGAUGGUGGCAAGGGAGAACGUGGCCCUCCAAUGCCCCGAGAGGCCUGGGGAGGUGGACCUAUGCCUCCACAAUACAGAGGAAGACCUCCAAUGGGAAUGGAUGGGACCGCCAUCUUGGAAGUGAAUUUAUUCACGACCAUCGGUAAAAUCCGAGGAAUAUCUUUACCAUCGCCCUCUUCAGUGACGCCUGAAGAAAUUUUUAUUGUUUCAACAAUAGCCCAGUGGAACGGACCCGUGAUGGGCAACAAGGAAAAGGAACAGGAGAAGACGACUGCACCAACGGUCAGCCGCCAUCGACGCAGCCAUCGCAGGCUACUGCAGCGCCAUCCCACAAUCUCACACAAAGACACUGUUGCUGGGAGCAGUGCAACAGUGACAUCGUCAGCAGCACCUUCGGACAAACUCGGCACCGAAGUCCUGGAGCAGUGUGCACUUGGAGAGAGGGCAGGCCUCUUGUUCCACAUUCACCUUACCAGGAGGAUUUUCAACAUUAAAAUCAUCAGGGAAGACAAAGGAAGAUGGCAAAAAAGAAGAAGAAGGAAAAGAUACUCAGUAUGGACCAGGGCCAAGUUUGCGACCACAAAGGCCUACGUCCCAAGGCCAGACAGAAACACAACAGAAUGGCCCCCAGACCUCAAGUCCAGUGGAACUUCCCAACCAGCCUCCAAGGCCUGGUUCGGGCCCCACGCCUGGAGGGCCCAUGACUAUGGGCCCUCCAAUGGGAAUGCCACCUCAGUAUCGGAUGAUGCCUCCUUAUAUUCCCUCCUGGCUACCCACCAAAUUACCAAGGAAUGCCAAGACCUCCUUAUCCGUAUGAUCAAAGGAAAUGAAGGAUGGCUGGUGCACAGGGUGAAAUUGAUUACUCGUAAGUGUACUAUGGAAUGGAAUUUUUUCAAAAUUAAGAGAUGGCAGAUGCCUCCAUUUGAUUAUAUGAGACCCCCAUCUAGAGGUCCUCCCUAUCCUCAGUAUGGAGUACCCCCUCCAGGUCCUCGUGCCCCAGGACCUUAUUCUCAUCCCCAGAUGACCCCACCUCAACCCCCUCAAAGUCCCCAGAGUCCAGGACCCAGUCCAAGUCCAAACCAGACUCCUAAAAAGAAUGAGACCAAGGAUGAGAUGGAUAAUACUUGA